UACGUAGGGUGCGAGCGUUAAUCGGAAUUACUGGGCGUAAAGCGUGCGCAGGCGGUUUUGUAAGCCAGAUGUGAAAUCCCCGGGCUUAACCUGGGAAUGGCAUUUGGGACUGCAAGGCUGGAGGUUGGCAGAGGAGACUGGAAUUCCUGGUGUAGCAGUGAAAUGCGUAGAUAUCAGGAGGAAUACCGAUGGCGAAGGCAGGUCUCUGGGCUAUAACUGACGCUCAUGCACGAAAGCGUGGGGAGCAAACAGG
rnacentral:rRNA from 1 species